UCAAUCUGUGUGUCACAAAGUUUGGCGCUUCCUGUACUUGAUUAUCUUCCAGGAUUGCAUCAACAGACUGAUCUUUAGAGUGAAUGAAGCCAACACUGUGGAAAACUUCUUGGAUUCACUUCAAAUCUCUUUGGGUUGAACCAGGCGAGAAGCCUAAACCAUCUCUAUUCUUGUUCUCGGCAAGUUCAAGCACUAAACCUCAUCCAUCA
rnacentral:lncRNA from 1 species